CGCACCUUGCACUCCUUGGUAUUCCGAGGAGUAUGCCUGUUUGAGUGUCAUUAAAUUCUCAAACCUUUUACUUGUUUCACAAGUUAGAAGGCUUUGGAUGUGGGGGUUGCUGGAUUCUAACGAAGUCAGCUCUCCUUAAAAACAUUAGUGGUUAUAGAUCCCAUUACUUGGUGUGAUAAUUAUCUACGCCUCGCAAGAAAGAUCAUAUGUAGCUGCUUUCAAACCGUCGAAAGACAACUUGAACCAUUUGACCUCAAAUCAGGUAGGACUACCCGCUGAACUUAA
rnacentral:misc_RNA from 1 species